GACGAACGCUGGCGGCGUGCUUAACACAUGCAAGUCGAACGGAAAGGCACUGCUUUUGUGGGGUGCUCGAGUGGCGAACGGGUGAGUAACACGUGAGUAACCUGCCCUUGACUUUGGGAUAACUUCAGGAAACUGGGGCUAAUACCGGAUAGGAGCUCCUGCUGCAUGGUGGGGGGUGGAAAGUUUCGGCGGUUGGGGAUGGACUCGCGGCUUAUCAGCUUGUUGGUGGGGUAGUGGCUUACCAAGGCUUUGACGGGUAGCCGGCCUGAGAGGGUGACCGGCCACAUUGGGACUGAGAUACGGCCCAGACUCCUACGGGAGGCAGCAGUGGGGAAUAUUGCACAAUGGGCGGAAGCCUGAUGCAGCAACGCCGCGUGCGGGAUGACGGCCUUCGGGUUGUAAACCGCUUUCGCCUGUGACGAAGCGUGAGUGACGGUAAUGGGUAAAGAAGCACCGGCUAACUACGUG
rnacentral:rRNA from 1 species